AGUGAACGCUGGCGGCAGGCCUAAUACAUGCAAGUCGAACGGCAGCACAGCAGAGCUUGCUCUGUGGGUGGCGAGUGGCGGACGGGUGAGGAAUACAUGGGAAUCUGCCCAGUCGUGGGGGAUAACGUAGGGAAACUUACGCUAAUACCGCAUGCGCCCUUCGGGGGAAAGCCGGGGACCUUCGGGCCUGGCGCGAUUGGAUGAGCCCAUGUCGGAUUAGCUAGUUGGCGGGGUAAUGGCCCACCAAGGCGACGAUCCGUAGCUGGUCUGAGAGGAUGAUCAGCCACACUGGAACUGAGACACGGUCCAGACUCCUACGGGAGGCAGCAGUAGGGAAUAUUGGACAAUGGGCGCAAGCCUGAUCCAGCCAUGCCGCGUGAGUGAAGAAGGCCCUCGGGUUGUAAAGCUCUUUUGUCCCGGUAAAGAAAAAGACGCCGGGUUAAUACCCUAGUGUCCUGACGGUACCGGAAGAAUAAGCACCGGCUAACUUCGUGCCAGCAGCCGCGGUAA
rnacentral:rRNA from 1 species